rnacentral:rRNA from 1 species
AUUGAACGCUGGCGGCAGGCCUAACACAUGCAAGUCGAGCGAGCGGCGGACGGGGGAGUAAUGUAUGGGGACUGCCCGAUAGAGGGGGAUAACUACGGGAAACGGUGGCUAAUACCGCAUUAUAACGGAAAACACAUAUGGGAAUAGCUUGUAGGAGGGGUAAAGGUUAACCUAGUAGACGAUCUCUAGCUGGUCUGAGAGGAUGAUCAGCCAAACUGGGACUGAGACACGGCCCAUACUCCUACGGAGGCAGCAGUGGGGAAUAUUGCACAAGGGGCGCAAGCCGGAUGCAGCCAUGCCGCGUGUAUGAAGAAGGCCUUAGGGUUGUAAAGUACUUUCAGCGGGGAGGCGUUACCCGCAGAAGAAGCACCGGCUAACUCCGUGCCAGCAGCCGCGGUAAUAC